UGGGCCGCGGGCCGCCAGGGGGCCCUGCAGGAGGCGUGCCGCGCGCCAUAUUGUCUUGGCCACUUGUUGUUUUCACAGUCCGCGCGCUGUUCCCCGUGUUUUGUGCAAGCUUUCCUCCUCUCCCUCAGCACCAGCAAUGAUGAACGGUGAAAACGACGACGUUGGAGGCUACCUGAACCCUGGAACAAAGGUGAGUGUCGCUGUGGCUUGGCG